GACGAACGCUGGCGGCGUGCCUAAUACAUGCAAGUAGAACGCUGAAGGAGGAGCUUGCUUCUCUGGAUGAGUUGCGAACGGGUGAGUAACGCGUAGGUAACCUGCCUGGUAGCGGGGGAUAACUAUUGGAAACGAUAGCUAAUACCGCAUAAAAUUGAUUAUCGCAUGAUAAUCCAUUGAAAGGUGCAAAUGCAUCACUACCAGAUGGACCUGCGUUGUAUUAGCUAGUUGGUGGGGUAACGGCUCACCAAGGCGACGAUACAUAGCCGACCUGAGAGGGUGAUCGGCCACACUGGGACUGAGACACGGCCCAGACUCCUACGGGAGGCAGCAGUAGGGAAUCUUCGGCAAUGGACGGAAGUCUGACCGAGCAACGCCGCGUGAGUGAAGAAGGUUUUCGGAUCGUAAAGCUCUGUUGUAAGAGAAGAACGAGUGUGAGAGUG
rnacentral:rRNA from 1 species